rnacentral:ncRNA from 1 species
AGAGUAUGCAAUUAAAAGGGAAUCAGGUGAAAAUCCUGAACAGUCCCGCUGCUGUAAGUUCCAUACAAGGUUAUAGACAAAACACUGCUUAAAGCCACUGAUUGAAAACAAUCGGGAAGGUAGUCGAUAACUGGAACAAGUCAGAAGACCUGCCAUACAAUCUU